GACGAACGCUGGCGGCGUGCUUAACACAUGCAAGUCGAACGGAAAGGCCCUGCUUUUGUGGGUUGCUCGAUUGGCGAGCGGGUGAGUAACACGUGAGUAACCUGCCCUUGACUUUGGGAUAACUUCACGGAACUGCGGCUAAUACCGGGUAGAAUCUCCUGCUGCAUGGUGUGGGUUGGAAAGUUUCGGCGGUUGUGGAUGGUCUCGCUGCUUAUCAGCUUGUUUGUGUGGUAGUGGCUUACCAAGGCUGUGACGGAUAGCCGGCCUGAGAGGGUUGACGGCGACAAGGGGACUGAGAGACGGCGCAGAAUCGUAUGGGACGCAGUAGGGGGGAACAUGGCAGAACGGGGGGAAGUGUGAGGUGGAAAUGCUGCGAGCGGGAUGAUGGGUUUCGGGUUGUAAACAGAUUUCGCAGGAGACGAAGAGGGAUUGACGGUAAUGGGUAAGGAAGCAACGGCUAACUACGUG
rnacentral:rRNA from 1 species